UAGAAGUUCGCUAUCUCUAGGAAUAAGAACAGAAUCACAAGUUGCAAUUUGAUUUAGUUGACUCACAUCCGCUUCUUCAAAGUAGUAAAGUCUCUCACAUUCCUUAACACUGCCAAUCGUCUUCCCAAAUGAUAGGUCCUGAAAAAUACAAUAAGAUCGAAGAAAUUUAGCCGAGCAGUUCGAGUUUUUCGUUAAUUGACUAAUUGACAGAAAGUUGUAGGAUAAGUUGGGAACAUGAAGAACAGGCUCAAGUGUUAUUGAAUUCCAGCUACAGGUGAGAGUGAGCGGUCUGCAAUUUUAACUUUGAUAUUGCCAUCAUAAGUGGAGUAUGUAGAAAAAAGAUAAUAGAAGUACGUCAUGUGAUAGGAUGCGCCCGAGUCAAUAAUCCAAGGAGCUUUCAAACAAGUGAUUGUAUGUAAUGCUCUCAGAAAAUUACCUUUGUGAGCAAGUGAGCUUGCAGGGGCAGAUGAUUGGAAACUUGAAAACAUUUUAUAGAGUUGCUUCAAUUGUUCGGGGUUAAAUGUACUGCUUGGAGUGGAAUUAUUGUUUUCAUCGAUCGGAUCUACACAUGCUUGGUAUCCACGAUUCCUGUUGUUUUGUCUGAAUUCCCAAUCUGAUGGCUUCACAUGCAAGUCCCAACAAGUAUCUUCUUUAUGCCCUGAUUUACAACAGUGGUCACACCAAGGACGUCCCUUUUGUUUUAAGCCAGGCCCAAUUGUAGGUGUCCCUUUGAAUUGUGAGCCCAUUUCAGUUGACCCAUUCCAUUUGGAUCCAAUUGUCACAGGCCCUUUAAGAGAAUAAAAUGGCCCAGUUUUUCUAUGUGGCUGGGCCGGCCCGUUUGGCCCAAUUCCUUUAGAAAGCAACACAGACUCGACUCUUC
rnacentral:lncRNA from 1 species